rnacentral:rRNA from 1 species
UACGAAGGGGGCUAGCGUUGUUCGGAAUUACUGGGCGUAAAGCGCACGUAGGCGGACAUUUAAGUCAGGGGUGAAAUCCCGGAGCUCAACUCCGGAACUGCCUUUGAUACUGGGUGUCUUGAGUAUGGAAGAGGUGAGUGGAAUUCCGAGUGUAGAGGUGAAAUUCGUAGAUAUUCGGAGGAACACCAGUGGCGAAGGCGGCUCACUGGUCCAUUACUGACGCUGAGGUGCGAAAGCGUGGGGAGCAAACAGG